AGCUCCAAUAGCGUAUAUUAAAGUUGUUGCGGUUAAAAAGCUCGUAGUUGGGUUUCUGCCGCAGCCCUGCGGUCCGCGCUUUGCGCGAGUACUCGUAGCGGCGUCGGCAUCUCUCAGGCGUCCGCGACCGCGCUUGGUUGCGCGGCGCAGGCGCCUGGGCGUUUACUUUGAGGAAAUUAGAGUGUUCACGGCAAGCGCGAGUUUGAAUAUGUUAGCAUGGAAUAAUAUCAAAGGGCCUCGGGUCUAUUUUGUUGGAUUCUGGAUCUGGGGCAAUGGUUAAUAGGGAUAAUUGGGGGCAUUCGUACUAACGCGUCAGAGGUGGAAUUCUUGGAUUGCGUUAUGACGAACUACUGCGAAAGCAUUUGCCAAGGGUGUUUUCG
rnacentral:rRNA from 1 species